rnacentral:piRNA from 1 species
UAGAAAAGCCUUGUCUUCCUUAUGUCCAA